ACACUGCAGGAUAGGUGCUGCCAUUCACAAACAUCUGCUACUGCUGCCUUCUGGGGAGAAUACAGGAUUUGGGCUGCUCUGCAGGUCUUGCACCUUCAGGUCUCAACUCAGUCCUACAACACAUAAGCAAACUCUUCCAGCUACCAUGGAAUGUAUCACUGACUACACAUGCAGCCAUUUCCCUGCAAGAAUUCAAGAAGUAGACACAAGUGAAAAACCGUGGCAGACUCUAGCAGGCUCACCAGCUUCAUUCUGAUCGAAUAAAUAAAUGGAGCUUUCACAAGGAAGAUCCGACAAGGUACCCAUGCCACCAAUGUGACCAGAACUCCACUGAAGCAAAUACAGAUCAGGGAAGGGCAGCAGGAACUGAAGAAGAAGGUGAUGCACUCUGACUGUAGGACAGGGAGGAUGCUGCUGUUCUGUUAAACAAAUAAUAAUCUUUUCUGCAACCAGAAAGGAAAUGGGAAGAUGGCAGAAAUCUAUUUGGCCAUGUUGCAGAGAGGAAAGUAUUAAUUAUAGUCUAGUAGCAAUCUUUAUUCUCAUAACCAUCUUGUCGAGCCUACACUUCUGGAGAAGUUUCUCAUGAGGGAGGGGAAAAAUCCCUAAUUCUUAAAAACAACGCAAGCCUACGCCUUCUGGUUUUGGCCUGAACCCAGUACCCACAACAGAAACCUUUCAACAGAAGGCAGUAAGGACUUCUCGUGGAAAAGGCACAAGACCAAGACCCACGUUUCCAGUAAAAACUGUUCUUUUUUCCCCUCUUCCCAACCUCAUUGUUCCCAAAAGAUACAAUGAAAAUGGAAGAUUGUUGGGAUUUCUAUAAGAAGAUUUGGCAGGUUUUUCAUAUUUGUUUAGACUGCAAGAUAUAAUUUGAAUUUGGGGCUUGCCUCUCUCUCACUAAGAAGAAGAAUGAGUUAUUUGUUCUCUGAAUAAGUAUUUGUUAUUAGUGGAUCAGACAUGGAUAAGGUAUAUUAUUACAACCAUGUUUGUUAGGUAUGAUUUACAUUGUUUGCUGCAUAUCAUUUUAGGCUGUCUUAAUUUUGUUAUACUUUAAGGGGGUUUUGUUUGGUUUUAUGCAUUUAGUCACAGUUGGUUGUGUUUUGAACUUUGAAAAAAAUUAAUACAAAGGAAAUUAAAAAAAGAAAAAGAAAAUAUUUUCAAAAUGAUGUGGAAAUCAAAUCUAUCCCUCAGUAAUUUGAUUUGUAGGAAAUGGAGAGCAAAGCAUUACAAAGCAUUACAAACAGAAUGCCUUGAAGUGCAUCAUAAUUACUUACAUGUGCAAAUACAUUGUCUAGGUUUAGGCAUUCAGUUAAUAAUAGUCAUAAUAAUUCUAUGCCCUUGCACAGGGUCUUUCAUCCAAGCGUCUCAAGGUUUGUGUAAACAACUGUUAACUGAUGCUUGGCUCCUUGCAAGUUCUCUGCUGCUCACGGGGAUGGAGAAUUAGGCACAAAAACUCUCCAAGGUCAAGGAUAAAUAAUGAUUUGGUGUCAAGGCAGGAGAGAUGGUUUUCCACCUGUAGGUGGAUCAGUGAUAGAUAAAUUUGCAUCUGAUCCUGAGUUCCUACAAUAUAAUGGCACCCUAAGAAUGAACAAAUGCAACAAAUGCACAGUUCAGAGCUUCUGUUCCACAAAACUUAAAGGCUGAGUUGGCAUAAAUCAGAUCUAUGGCUAAACCUUGGAAGAACUCCAAUAUAUAAAAAAAUAAACCAGUAGUCUCAAUUAAAGCACGAAGACUGACGAAUUUGGCUUCUUUGGAACUUUUUACAACAUAAAUGGUUCCCAUCUGAGGCUCCACAAAUGGUUUUCAGACCAUGCAUCAUUUAGGGAAGCCUGGGCUGAAUGUUGAACAAAUCUACAAGAAAGAUAUCCUAUUAAGUUCAGUUUUGGCAGAAAGUUAAAAACAAACAAACCAACAAACAAAGGCAAUUAUAUACUUUGAGAUUAUUCUCAUUUUGAUCUCUAAAGUUUUAAAUACCUGAAACUCAUAACAAAGCUUUGUCUCCAUGUUACACCAAAGCAUUUCCACAGCUCCUGACAUGGAAAGAAAUGCUGAAUUUCAUACCCUUCUGCUGUUUACUUCCAUGCCACACUGUAGCUGCACAGCUGUGCUGCCUCUUCCAAGGCUGGGAGUGGAACCCAUGGCUUCCAUACUCCAGACCUUUUGCUCCUUGCUAGCCAGAACUCCAUUCAUCAUUCACUACAAUAUAUGUUUCCAUGCUUCAGUAAAUGACCAAACCCCAAGACUGCCGUUUUUUUGCUGUUUCGUUUAGCCAUGCCAUAAUGCUAAUGCUUUAAAAUACUAGCUGCUGAAAUAGUCAUAAAUGCCAUUCUGCAGUUACUGACCCACGCAGGUACACAACUGCCUGUUUUAAGGAUUUGACAUUAACGCAUCCAAUUUUUGUUCAGCCUAUAUUUUAGUGCUCUGUGUAGCCAUGACAAGGAAAUGUUUCUCUAUACUUUUCCAUUACCUGUUAUGCUUUACACUAAUAAAAACAGUGGAU
ensembl:lncRNA